GAUGAACGCUGGCGGCGUGCCUAAUACAUGCAAGUAGAACGCUGAAGGAGGAGCUUGCUCUUCUGGAUGAGUUGCGAGCGGGUGAGUAACGCGUAGGUAACCUGCCUGGUAGCGGGGGAUAACUAUUGGAAACGAUAGCUAAUACCGCAUGACAACAGUUAUUGCAUGAUAACUGUUUAAAAGGGGCAACUGCUCCACUACCAGAUGGACCUGCGUUGUAUUAGCUAGUUGGUGAGGUAACGGCUCACCAAGGCGACGAUACAUAGCCGACCUGAGAGGGUGAUCGGCCACACUGGGACUGAGACACGGCCCAGACUCCUACGGGAGGCAGCAGUAGGGAAUCUUCGGCAAUGGACGGAAGUCUGACCGAGCAACGCCGCGUGAGUGAAGAAGGUUUUCGGAUCGUAAAGCUCUGUUGUAAGAGAAGAACGAGUGUGAGAGUGGAAAGUUCACACUGUGACGGUAUCUUACCAGAAAGGGACGGCUAACUACGUG
rnacentral:rRNA from 1 species